GACAAAAAAAACAGCGAAAUACCGUGCAAAACAUUCAGACUGUCCUGCCAACCAGUAUACAUUUUAACAUCAAUGUACGCUGUAAGCAUUUUUCACUCUGUUUC